rnacentral:rRNA from 1 species
GACGAACGCUGGCGGCGUGCUUAACACAUGCAAGUCGAACGGAAAGGCCCUGCUUUUGUGGGGUGCUCGAGUGGCGAACGGGUGAGUAACACGUGAGAACCUGCCCUUGACUUUGGGAUAACUUCAGGAAACUGGGGCUAAUACCGGAUAGGAGCUCCUGCUGCCUGGUGGGGGUUGGAAAGUUUCGGCGGUUGGGGAUGGACUCGCGGCUUAUCAGCUUGUUGGUGGGGUAGUGGCUUACCAAGGCUUUGACGGGUAGCCGGCCUGAGAGGGUGACCGGCCACAUUGGGACUGAGAUACGGCCCAGACUCCUACGGGAGGCAGCAGUGGGGAAUAUUGCACAAUGGGCGGAAGCCUGAUGCAGCAACGCCGCGUGCGGGAUGACGGCCUUCGGGUUGUAAACCGCUUUCGCCUGUGACGAAGCGUGAGUGACGGUAAUGGGUAAAGAAGCACCGGCUAACUACGUG